UAAAUUGAGUCUCUCUUAAUACCUAGCUUGACAAAAUAAUAUUUUAGAACAAUAGCCGACUACUCCAGGUGUGCCAAAGGGGGAGAAAGAGAAUCGCAUCUUACGCUGUGAAAAUAUUUUUGAUACUUUAGCACCAGGUGUUUUUCUUCAUUCUACUUGUUGUUCAUUCCCCUCUACCGUAAUAACCCACCAAUAUCCUGUAAGCACUGGCUUACAACGAACUGGCAUUUAAAAUAUUGGCCUUCAAAGAAUUGGACCCAGCUAGGAUUUCAGCAGAUCGUGCUUUGAAGGUCCUUGAGUCUGAAUAACAAACAAUAUUAUGUAUUACAUAAUCUGUUAAAAUGAAUUUGAAGGCUCCACCUCCACCCUGGCACAUGAUAAAAAUAUAGGAGUAAAGUGAAAUUGACAUGAGUCCCACAAACAAGUUCCGUGCAAGCAGCCGCUAGACAAUACGUGUUGGCAGAACCAAAGAACUCCCCCUGAGAUAGACUGAAGACACUGUGACCUCAGAGCUGGGAAACAAAUUAUAUCACUCAACCCACAUUUUCUUCUGCUGCAGGAUCCGGAUCCAGCUAUAUUGGCCGAGUGAAGUAUUUUCACCUUGGGGCAACUUACAUCAAGGCAAAGAGUAACAUUUACAACCCCCUGAAAACACUCAGCAAAACUGGAAUAGGAGAUUCCACUUCGCUAUAGGUGUCUAGCCAUUUUCGACUAUGGACUUUCUAUGUCAGUUUGUCUUAGACACUGAGUCUGAUCCUUCAUCCACUAAAAUCCGGAGGAGUUUGGGCAUUGACUUCAGCGAGAGCAGAAUCUGGAUCCCUUUUCCUGAUCUUGCUCUCGCGGACUCAGUGUGUGUCAAAUGUGUAGGAAAGCCAGCUAUCUGUCUAUUUAUAAACCGUGUUCUAAUUCUGUGUGUGCAUCAUUUCCGAGAGAUCGGGAGAAAAGUUUAUUUGUAAAUACAAAUCAGUCUAAACUA